AGCAGCCGCGGUAAUUCCAGCUCCAAUAGCGUAUAUUAAAGUUGUUGCAGUUAAAAAGCUCAGUAGUUGAAUUUCGGGGUUAGUAGGUUGGUCGUGCCACUGGUACGUACUGGUCUCACUGAUUCCUCCUUCCUGAUGAACUGUAAUGCCAUUAAUUUGGUGUUGCAGGGAAACUGGACUGUUACUUUGAAAAAAUUAGAGUGUUUAAAGCAAGCUAACGCUUGAAUACAUUAGCAUGGAAUAAUGAAAUAGGACGUUCGAUCCUAUUUUGUUGGUUUCUAGGAUUGACGUAAUGAUUAAUAGGGAUAGUUGGGGGGCAUUAGUAUUCAAUUGUCAGAGGUGAAAUUCUUGGAUUUAUUGAAGACUAACUACUGCGAAAGCAUUUGCCAAGGAUGUUUUCAUUAAUCAAUGAACGAAAGUUAGGGGUAUCGAAGGCGAUACAGGAUACCGUCGUACGUCUUAACCAUGAAACUAUGCCGACUAGGGAUCGGAUGGAUGUUAAUUUUUUUGAUGAACUUCA
rnacentral:rRNA from 1 species